UACGAAGGGGGCUAGCGUUGUUCGGAAUCACUGGGCGUAAAGCGCACGUAGGCGGAUCUUUAAGUCAGGGGUGAAAUCCCGAGGCUCAACCUCGGAACUGCCUUUGAUACUGGGGAUCUCGAGUCCGGGAGAGGUGAGUGGAAUUGCGAGUGUAGAGGUGAAAUUCGUAGAUAUUCGCAAGAACACCAGUGGCGAAGGCGGACUCACUGGCCCGGUACUGACGCUGAGGUGCGAAAGCGUGGGGAGCAAACAGG
rnacentral:rRNA from 1 species